UACAGAGGGGGCAAGCGUUGUUCGGAAUUACUGGGCGUAAAGGGCGCGUAGGCGGCCCGCUAAGUCGAACGUGAAAUCCCCGGGCUCAACCCGGGAACUGCGUCCGAUACUGGCAGGCUUGAAUCCGGGAGAGGGAUGCGGAAUUCCAGGUGUAGCGGUGAAAUGCGUAGAUAUCUGGAGGAACACCGGUGGCGAAGGCGGCAUCCUGGACCGGCAUUGACGCUGAGGCGCGGAAAGCCAGGGGAGCAAAGCGGGG
rnacentral:rRNA from 1 species